rnacentral:rRNA from 1 species
AGAAUAGGAUUUUCCCUUCGGGGACUGCCGGUUCAGGUGCUGCAUGGCUGUCGUCAGCUCGUGCCGUGAGGUGUUGGGUUAAGUCCCGCAACGAGCGCAACCCUCGUCCUUAGUUGCCACCAUUCAGUUGGGCACUCUAGGGAGACUGCCGGCGUUAAGCCGGAGGAAGGUGGGGACGACGUCAAGUCAUCAUGGCCCUUAUGUCCAGGGCCACACACGUGCUACAAUGGGCGGUACAAAGGGUUGCAAACCCGCGAGGGGGAGCUAAUCCCAAAAAGCCGCUCUCAGUUCGGAUUGGAGUCUGCAACUCGACUCCAUGAAGUUGGAAUCGCUAGUAAUCGCGGAUCAGCACGCCGCGGUGAAUACGUUCCCGGGCCUUGUACACACCGCCCGUCACACCAUGGAAGCCAGCUGUACCGGAAGUCGGUGCGCCAACCCGCAAGGGAGGUAGCCGCCUAUGGUAUGACUGGUGACUGGGGUGAAGUCGUAACAAGGUAGCCGU